GAACGGUGUCUUCGGACACAGUGGCGGACGGGUGAGUAACGCGUGAGAAUCUGCCAUCAGGUCUGGGACAACCACUGGAAACGGUGGCUAAUACCGGAUGUGCCCUUCGGGGUGAAAGGUUAACUGCCUGUUGAUGAGCUCGCGUCUGAUUAGCUAGUUGGUGUGGUAAGAGCGCACCAAGGCGACGAUCAGUAGCUGGUCUGAGAGGACGAUCAGCCACACUGGGACUGAGACACGGCCCAGACUCCUACGGGAGGCAGCAGUGGGGAAUUUUCCGCAAUGGGCGAAAGCCUGACGGAGCAAUACCGCGUGAGGGAGGAAGGCUCUUGGGUCGUAAACCUCUUUUCUCAGGGAAGAACACAAUGACGGUACCUGAGGAAUAAGCAUCGGCUAACUCCGUGCCAGCAGCCGCGGUAAUACGGAGGAUGCAAGCGUUAUCCGGAAUGAUUGGGCGUAAAGCGUCCGCAGGUGGCUAUGUAAGUCUGCUGUUAAAGAGUCUAGCUCAACUAGAUAAGAGCAGUGGAAACUACAAGGCUAGAGUGCGUUCGGGGCAGAGGGAAUUCCUGGUGUAGCGGUGAAAUGCGUAGAGAUCAGGAAGAACACCAGUGGCGAAGGCGCUCUGCUAGGCCGCAACUGACACUGAGGGACGAAAGCUAGGGGAGCGAAUGGGAUUAGAUACCCCAGUAGUCCUAGCCGUAAACGAUGGAUACUAGGCGUGGCUUGUAUCGACCCGAGCCGUGCCGUAGCUAACGCGUUAAGUAUCCCGCCUGGGGAGUACGCCGGCAACGGUGAAACUCAAAGGAAUUGACGGGGGCC
rnacentral:rRNA from 1 species